AAAAAGCCAUGCAAGGGUGAUAGGUACCAUGAUCCUGAAGGUGAUUUUCCCCCACAAGCCUUAUUCGCUGCACUCUGGAUUUGCUGACCCCUGCAAUUUCCCCAAAUUCAGGGAGACUUGACUGUGUAAUUAGUGGUAGUUGGGGACUGCAUUUGCAAUCUACCCUGA